GAUGAAGAACGUAGUGAAAUGCGAUAAGUAAUGCGAAUUGCAGAAUUCAGUGAGUCAUCGAAUCUUUGAACGCACAUUGCGCCCUGUGGUAUUCCGCAGGGCAUGCCUGUUCGAGUGUCAUUUCAACCCUCAAGCUCUGCUUGGUGUUGGGCCCUGCCCGCUGCGGCCGGCCCUAAAGACAGUGGCGGUGCCGCCUGGCCCUGAGCGUAGUACAUCUCUCGCUCCAGUGCCCGGUGGUAGCCUGCCAGAACCCCAACUCUCGUGGUUGACCUCGGAUCAGGUAGGGAUACCCGCUGAACUUAAGCAUAUCAAUAAGCGGAGGA
rnacentral:misc_RNA from 1 species